AGCAGCCGCGGUAAUUCCAGCUCCAAUAGCGUAUAUUAAAGUUGCUGCAGUUAAAAAGCUCGUAGUUGAAUUUCGGGACUAAUAUGUCGGUCGUGCCUCGGUACGUACUGGUUUAUUGGUUUCUCCUUUCUGAAGAACCAUGAUGUCAUUUAUUUGGUGUCGUGGGGAAUCAGGACUGUUACUUUGAAAAAAUUAGAGUGUUUAAAGCAGGCUCACGCUUGAAUACAUUAGCAUGGAAUAAUGAAAUAGGACGUUUGAUUCUAUUUUGUUGGUUUCUAGGAUCGACGUAAUGAUUAAUAGGGAUAGUUGGGGGCAUUAGUAUUCAAUUGUCAGAGGUGAAAUUCUUGGAUUUAUUGAAGACUAACUACUGGCGAAAGCAUUUGCCAAGGAUGUUUUCAUUAAUCAAGAACGAAAGUUAGGGGAUCGAAGACGAUCAGAUACCGUCGUAGUCUUAACCAUAAACUAUGCCGACUAGGGAUCGGAUGAUGUUAAUUUUUAAUGUACUCAUUCGGCGCCUUAC
rnacentral:rRNA from 1 species